rnacentral:rRNA from 1 species
GAGUUUGAUCCUGGCUCAGGAUGAACGCUGGCGGCGUGCCUAACACAUGCGAGUCGAGCGAUUUACUUCGGUAAAGAGCGGCGGACGGGUGAGUAACGCGUGGGUAACCUGCCUCAUACACAUGGAUAACAUACCGAAAGGUAUGCUAAUACAGGAUGAUAUAAGAGAUUCACAUGGAUUUUUUAUCAAAGCUCCGGCGGUAUGAGAUGGACCCGCGUCUGAUUAGCUAGUUGGUAAGGUAAUGGCUUACCAAGGCGACGAUCAGUAGCCGACUGAGAGGGUGAUCGGCCACAUUGGAACUGAGACACGGUCCAAACUCCUACGGGAGGCAGCAGUGGGGAAUAUUGCACAAUGGGCGAAAGCCUGAUGCAGCAACGCCGCGUGAGUGAUGAAGGCCUUCGGGUCGUAAAACUCUGUCCUCAAGGAAGAUAAUGACGGUACUUGAGGAGGAAGCCCCGGCUAACUACGUGCCAGCAGCCGCGGUAAUAC